GAGUUUGAUCUUGGCUCAGAGUGAACGCUGGCGGUAGGCCUAACACAUGCAAGUCGAACGGCAGCACAGUAAGAGCUUGCUCUUACGGGUGGCGAGUGGCGGACGGGUGAGGAAUACAUCGGGAUCUACUUUUUCGUGGGGGAUAACGUAGGGAAACUUACGCUAAUACCGCAUACGACCUACGGUGAAAGCAGGGGAUCUUCGGACCUUGCGCGAUUGAAUGAGCCGAUGUCGGAUUAGCUAGUUGGCGGGGUAAAGGCCCACCAAGGCGACGAUCCGUAGCUGGUCUGAGAGGAUGAUCAGCCACACUGGAACUGAGACACGGUCCAGACUCCUACGGGAGGUAGCAGUGGGGAAUAUUGGACAAUGGGCGCAAGCCUGAUCCAGCCAUACCGCGUGGUGAAGAAGGCCUCGGUUGUAAGCCUUUCGUUGGUAAGAAAGUACAGCCGGCGUAACUACUACGGUUGGGUAGU
rnacentral:rRNA from 1 species